ensembl:lncRNA
CUCUUACAUAUAAUUGCCAGAUAUAAUUUUCACAUUCUUGUAAUAAAUUUAUCAUCAUGGUUUUUUUUCAAAUACCUGGUAUGGUACUAUAGCUACCAUGAUCUUCAAACAUCUAGCAUAAUAGGCAUGGUGAAGAGAAUAGGAAAGGUUUCAGAAACUCUUCCUAAGAAUACAUCUUUCGGGGGCAGAACCAGGAGAACAUUGUACACAGAGACUGACACAUUGUAGUGCAAUGGAAUGUAAUGGACUUCUCUGCUAGCAGCAAUGCAAUGAUCCAGGACAAUUCUGAGGGACUUAUGAGAAAGAAUGCUAUCCACAUCCAGAGGAAGAACUGUGAGAGUAGAAAAACAGGAGAAAAACAACUGCUUGAUCAAAUGGGUUGAUGGGGAUAUGAUUGGGAAUGUAGACUCUAAAUGAUCACCCUAGUGCAAUUAUCAAUAAUAUGGAAAUAGGUCUUGAUCAAGGACACAUGUAAAACCCAGUGGAAUUGUGUAAUGGCUAUAGAAGGAGGACAGGAGGGAAAGAACCUGAAUCAUGUAACCAUGGGAAAACUAUUCUAAAUUAAUUAAUUAAAGUUUUUCAAUUAAAAAAAGAAUACAUCUUUCACAUUCUUUUUGUAGUGACAGAGAACUAGAAACUAAGAAUGUGCCCAUUUAUUAGAGAAUUACUGAAUAAAUUAUGGUAUAUAAAUAUAGUGGAUUAUUAUUGAACCAAAAGAAUUAUAUAAAGGAUGCUUUUAGAGAAACUUGGUAAAGUGUGGGUGAAUUCACGAAGUGAAGUAAGCAGAACAGGGAGAAUAAUUUAUUUGAUAAUAAUAAUGAAUUCAUUAUUCAUGGAAUUCAUGGAAUAAUGAAUGAUUCCAGUAUGCCAAUAUGAAGUGAGGGGGAAGGGAACUUGGAGUGUCAGUUGGUCUUGUGACUCUCUCUCUUCUGGCUCUUGUGCUCUCUCCCUAUCUCAGGAUAGAAGUACCUCUAUUCCUGGAUUUCCCAAAUUGUGUGCUCUACCAGCAUUCCUGUGAUCUUGUCAUCGAACAAAAGGAUUUAAGGGGAGCAAUUCGAACUAGACAAAGAUUUGAAGGAGGAAGAAAGAAAGGAUUCCUGAUUCAUAUGACAGUCCCUCUGUACAUUAUCAUUGAAGCCCUUACUGCUCUUCUGUCUUCAAGCCAAUACCCAGUAUUGAUUCUAAGAUGGAAGGUAAGGGUUUUAGAAAAAAAAAGAAAAAAGAAAAACUCAUAUUUGCAUUUGCCAUUCAGCAGUCCCUAUUAUUUUCUAUUCUCUCCUUGUGUUUUUCUUCUAAAGGAUUUCUACUAGCAUUUCCUUUUCUAUCAACUCACUGUUCUUCAGUCCUUACAACCUAGCUGUCACCUUUAUCCAUCCCUCUGAACUGAUCUUUCACUUUUUAAUUAGCCAAGGACCCAACAUUCUUUUAGACACAUAUUUUCUGUUAUCAGAUGAUCACAAAGGCUAAGUGAGCUGCUAAGGUUUAGAAAGCUUGUCAGUAUCAGAACCAAGAUCAGUAUUCAGGAGGUUUGCCUCAAAGUCCUGGAUCAGCCCAUUAAAUACCCUUGUUCCUAAGACUUGCUUAAAGUCACUUCUUUCUCCUUUACCUAUCAGCUUGUGCCAUCUCUUAUGUCAUUUGCAUAAUUGAAAUAUCUUCUCCCUCUUCCCAUGCAGCUACUGCAGAGAAUAGUCAGCUGUGGCUUUUUUUUUUUUUGCCACCUUUAUCCCAUAAAAAUCUGCAACUCUUGAGCAUCUUUUAAUUCUUUUUUUUUUUUUUUUGCUGAUUAACUUGUUGGUGGAGAUUCUGUUAAGGGCUAGGUCCAAAACUUGGCUCUUUUUUCUUUAUAGGACAAGUCCUAUCUGCUUGACCAUGUUUCCUUUCAAAGCUCAUAAUAAAUUUAAUUAUAUGAAGAAGAGUGACUUCUAA